AGGACGAACGCUGGCGGCGCGCUUAACACAUGCAAGUCGAACGGGGUCCUUCGGGGCCCAGUGGCGAACGGGUGCGUAACACGUGAGCAAUCUGCCUGGAGGAGGGGGAUAACCUCGGGAAACCGGGGCUAAUACCGCAUACGCUCUUUGGCUCUUCGGGGCUGGAGAGGAAAGGGGCUACGGCCUCGUCUCCAGAGGGGCUCGCGGCGUAUCAGCUAGUUGGUGAGGUAACGGCUCACCAAGGCGAUGACGCGGUAGGGGGUCUGA
rnacentral:rRNA from 1 species